rnacentral:rRNA from 1 species
GUGGGGAAUCUUCCACAAUGGACGAAAGUCUGAUGGAGCAACGCCGCGUGAGUGAAGAAGGGUUUCGGCUCGUAAAGCUCUGUUGUCGGGGACGAAUGUGCAGUAUUUGAAUAAAGUACUGCAAUGACGGUACCUGACGAGGAAGCCACGGCUAACUACGUGCCAGCAGCCGCGGUAAUACGUAGGUGGCAAGCGUUGUCCGGAAUUAUUGGGCGUAACGGGAGCGCAGGCGGGAAGGUAAGUCGGUCUUAAAAGUGCGGGGCUCAAGCCCGUGAUGGGAUCGAAACUAUCUUUCAUGAGUGCAGGAGAGGAAAGUGGAAUUCCUAGUGUAGCGGUGAAAUGCGUAGAUAUUAGGAGGAACACCAGUGGCGAAGGCGACUUUCCGGACUGUAACUGACGCUGAGGCUCGAAAGCCAGGGGAGCGAACGGGAUUAGAUACCCUAGUAGUCC